rnacentral:tRNA from 3 species
GGGGUCGUAGUUCAGAUGGAGAGAACGCCGGCCUGUCACGCCGGAGGUCGUGGGUUCAAGUCCCAUCGGCCCCGCCA